rnacentral:rRNA from 1 species
CCUACGGGAGGCAGCAGCAAGGAAUUUUCCGCAAUGGGCGAAAGCCUGACGGAGCAACGCCGCGUGGGGGAGGACGCUUUUCGGAGUGUAAACCUCUUUUCUUGGGGACGACGAACGACGGUACCCGAGGAAUAAGGACCGGCUAACUACGUGCCAGCAGCCGCGGUAAUACGUAGGGUCCGAGCGUUGUCCGGAGUUACUGGGCGUAAAGCGCGCGCAGGCGGCUUGAUAAGUCUGGCGUGAAAGCCCCCGGCUCAACCGGGGAGGGUCGUCGGAGACUGUGAAGCUUGAGGGCGGUAGGGGCUGGUGGAAUUCCCGGUGUAGUGGUGAAAUGCGUAGAGAUCGGGAGGAACACCUGUGGCGAAGGCGGCCAGCUGGGCCGACCCUGACGCUGAGGCGCGAAGGCGUGGGGAGCGAACGGGAUUAGAUACCCCGGUAGUCCACGCAGUAAACGAUGCAGACUAGGCGUGGGGGACUUGACCCCCUCCGUGCCGGAGCUAACGCGGUAAGUCUGCCGCCGUCGGGAGGUACGGCCGGCGACGGACGUAAACUAACAAUAGAAUAGUACGGCGUGAGACGUGCCGAACGGACGACGACGAGGGAGGUAAGG